rnacentral:rRNA from 1 species
AUUGAACGCUGGCGGCAUGCCUUACACAUGCAAGUCGAACGGCAGCACGGGGCAACCUGGUGGCGAGUGGCGAACGGGUGAGUAAUGCAUCGGAACGUGCCAUUGAGUGGGGAUAACGUAGCGAAAGUUGCGCUAAUACCGCAUAUUCUGUGAGCAGGAAAGCAGGGACCGCAAGCCUUGCGCUCUUUGAGCGGCCGAUGUCAGAUUAGCUAGUUGGUGAGGUAAAGGACUUACCAAGGCGACGAUCUGUAGCGGGUCGUGAGAGGAUGAUCCGCCACACUGGAACUGAGACACGGUCCAGACUCCUACGGGAGGCAGCAGU